rnacentral:rRNA from 1 species
GACGAACGCUGGCGGCGUGCUUAACACAUGCAAGUCGAACGGAAAGGCCUGCUUUCCCUUGUGGAUUGCGGGUACUCGAGUGGCGAACGGGUGAGUAACACGUGAGUGAUCUGCCCCCAACUUGGGUAUAAGCCUGGGAAACUAGGUCUAAUUCCCGAUAGGACCGCAGGGUGGUGUCUGUGGUGGCAAACGAUUUUCUAGUGGUUGGGGAUGAGCUCGCGGCCUAUCAGCUUGUUGGUGGGGUAAGGGCCUACCAAGGCGGCGACGGGUAGCCGGCCUGGGAGGGGGGACGGCCACAUUGGGACUGAGAUACGGCCCAGACGCCUACGGGAGGCAGCAGUGGGGAAGAAUGCGCGGUGGGCGGAAGCCUGAUGCAGCGACGCCGCGUGGGGGAUGACGGCCUUCGGAUUGUAAACUCCUUUCGACCGCGAGGAAGCCACCUGGUUGGAAGGGUGGUGACGGUAGUGGUAGAAGAAGCACCGGCUAACUACGUG